rnacentral:tRNA from 1 species
UGGGAUGUAGUUCAGCUGGUACAGUGCUUGCCUAGCAUGCAUGAGGCCCUGGGUUCAGUCCCCAGGACCCCAA